GCCGUGAGUGGCUCAGCCGGUAGAGCAUGAGACUCUUAUUAAUCUCUGGGUCGUGGGUUUCAGCCCCACUUUGGGCA